rnacentral:rRNA from 1 species
GGCAAACGGGUGAGUAACACGUGGGUGACCUGCCUUCGAGCGGGGGAUAACGUCCCGAAAGGGACGCUAAUACCGCAUAACAUCCUGCCUUUGAAGAGGUGGAGAUCAAAGCCGGGGAUCGCAAGACCCGGCACUUGAAGAGGGGCCCGCGCCUGAUUAGCUAGUUGGUGAGGUAACGGCUCACCAAGGCAACGAUCAGUAUCCGGCCUGAGAGGGCGGACGGACACACUGGGACUGAGACACGGCCCAGACUCCUACGGGAGGCAGCAGUGGGGAAUUGUUCGCAAUGGGCGCAAGCCUGACGACGCAACGCCGCGUGGAGGAUGAAGAUUUUCGGAUCGUAAACUCCUGUCGAAUGGGACGAAUAGAUUGCGGGUUAACAGCCCGCAGUCCUGACGGUACCGUUAAAGGAAACCCCGGCUAACUCCGUGCCAGCAGCCGCGGUAAUACGGGGGGGGUAAGCGUUGUUCGGAAUUACUGGGCGUAAAGGGCUCGUAGGCGGCCAACUAAGUCAGACGUGAAAUCCCUCAGCUUAACUGGGGAACUGCGUCUGAUACUGGAUGGCUUGGAUUCGGGAGAGGGAUGCGGAAUUCCAGGUGUAGCGGUGAAAUGCGUAGAUAUCUGGAGGAACACCGGUGGCGAAGGCGGCAUCCUGGACCGAUAUUGACGCUGAGGAGCGAAAGCCAGGGGAGCAAACGGGAUUAGAUACCCCGGUAGUCC